GACGAACCGAGCGAACGUUAUUCGGAAUCACUGGGCUUAAAGGGCGCGUAGGCGGGCGGCCAAGUCAGGGGUGAAAGCCCCCAGCUCAACUGGGGAAGUGCCUCUGAUACUGGCCAUCUCGAGGGAGGUAGGGGCGUGCGGAACUUCCGGUGGAGCGGUGAAAUGCGUAGAGAUCGGAAAGAACACCAACGGCGAAAGCACUCUGCUGGGCCGACACUGACACUGAGAGACGAAAGCUAGGGGAGCGAAUGGG
rnacentral:rRNA from 1 species